UCUAUUCUCGUUACACGACAAUGAGCAAAGAGGGGCAGCUGUAAGGCCCAAUAUUUUCCCAGGCAAUCAAAAUAAAAAAUAAUACAAAAAACAAAACAAAUACCAUAGUUUAUUAAAUAGUCUAUUUACAGACUCGCUCAGCCUAAAUUACCUAGACCCGAAUACCAGCCUGACCCGCUAAACCCAAUGGCCUAAAUCACCUAAGCCCAAAGCCACAAGCGAAACCCUAGCAACUAUGGUGAGCCUCCAGUGCCGCAACAGAGCCAGC
rnacentral:lncRNA from 1 species